rnacentral:lncRNA from 1 species
AACCGAUUUGAAGAGGUUGCCAUUCACUCUGUCAGGCUGCGUGUGGGAUUCAUCAGGACCCAGCCUCGCUUUCUUUCACCCCGCAUCAAUGUGCCCUAAAGGAUUUUUCUUUAAACCUGAUUGCUUGGAAGGCAUUGUUGUUGCAGAACAUGGCAAGGGCUCAUCAGAUGCUGAAUGAACAAACACACUGGACUGCAGCCUUAGUUGCUUUAUCUGUUGCAUGAAAUGGUUGAAUUAGAUUUCAGUCACUCAACCAGUAUCUCCUGAACCUCUACCAUGUGUCAAGCACUGAGCCAGGCCGGGGACAGAGGCUCACACCUGUAAUCCCAGCACUUUGGAAGGCUGAGGUGGGCGGAUCACCUGAGGUCAGGAGUUCGAGACCAGCCUGGCCAACAGGGUGAAACCCCGUCUCUAUUAAAAAUAAAACAUUAGCCGGGCAUGGUGGUAUGCAUCUGUACUUCCAGCUACUCAGAACGCUGAGGCAGGAGAAUCACUUGAACCCAGAAGGCGGAGAUUACAGUCAGCCGAGAUCGUGCCAUUGCACUCCAGCCUGGGCAAAAAAGAACGAAACUCUGUCUCAAAACAAAACAAACAAAAAACACCGAGCCUGCAUCAAUCAUGGACAGUGGCAUCAAGACUACAGACUAGUAGAAUUGAAACAGGGACUAUAAAGCAAGGACCCAAGUGACCACCUGGUAAUUACUUCAACAGCAGAGCGACUCAUACAGCCGGCAGUCCACUUUGUUCUUCUAUAGAUCCUGCCUGUGGUGUUGGAUCUAACAGCUUCUUCCCUGACCCAAGAUUAUGAAGGAUUUCUCCUGUGUUCUCUUCUAAAAAUUUUACAUUUAGGUCCUGGGCUUUCUCUGCUAGAAGAGGCUGAAUUCCUGGAGUACCUAGAGUACAGAGCUGAGUUUCACCUGCCACCUGGAUCAUUUCCUAUUUUUCUGCAGCCACUUCAGGGCGGGGACCCAGUAUCACUCUCUUACCAGCUUUGCUGCCAGUUUUCCAUCCAUCCCCCGGGGCUGAGAU